AUGCCGCGUGUGUGAAGAAGGCCCUCGGGUUGUAAAGCACUUUCAGCGAGGAAGAACGCCUGGCGGUUAAUACCCGCCAGGAAAGACAUCACUCGCAGAAGAAGCACCGGCUAACUCCGUGCCAGCAGCCGCGGUAAUACGGAGGGUGCAAGCGUUAAUCGGAAUUACUGGGCGUAAAGCGCGCGUAGGUGGCUUGAUAAGCCGGUUGUGAAAGCCCCGGGCUCAACCUGGGAACGGCAUCCGGAACUGUCAGGCUAGAGUGCAGGAGAGGAAGGUAGAAUUCCCGGUGUAGCGGUGAAAUGCGUAGAGAUCGGGAGGAAUACCAGUGGCGAAGGCGGCCUUCUGGACUGACACUGACACUGAGGUGCGAAAGCGUGGGUAGCAAACAGGAUUAGAUACCCUGGUAGUCCACGCCGUAAACGAUGUCGACCAGCCGUUGGGUGCCUAGCGCACUUUGUGGCGAAGUUAACGCGAUAAGUUGACCGCCUGGGGAGU
rnacentral:rRNA from 1 species